GAUGAACGCUGGCGGCGUGCCUAAUACAUGCAAGUCGAGCGAACAGACGAGGGGCUUGCUCCACGGACGUUAGCGGCGGACGGGUGGGUAACACGUGGAUAACCCACCUAUAAGACUGGGAUAACUUCGGGAAACCGGAGCUAAUACCGGAUAAUAUAUUUAACCGCAUGGUUCAAUAGUGAAAGACGGUUUUGCUGUCACUUAUAGAUGGAUCCGCGCCGCAUUAGCUAGUUGGUAAGGUAACGGCUUACCACGGCGACGAUGCGUAGCCGACAUGAGAGGGUGAUCGGCUACACUGGAAGUGAGAGGCGGUCCAGACUCCUAAGGGAGGCAGCAGUAGGGAAUCUGCCGCCAUGGGCGAGGGCCUGACGGGGCAACGCCGCGUGGGUGCUGAAGGUCUUCGGAUCGUAAGACUCUGUUAUUAGGGAAGAACAAAUGUGUAAGUAACUAUGCACGUCUUGACGGUACCUACUCAGAAAGCCACGGCUAGCUACGUG
rnacentral:rRNA from 1 species